GUGAGCAGUACAAGUACUAAAACUAGAAUGAUACAGUGAAGAUAAGCAUGGUUCGUGCACAAGAAUUAUGUACAAAUUCUUCAAGUGUUCUAUAAUUUU
rnacentral:snRNA from 1 species